GAAAUGCGAUACGUAAUGUGAAUUGCAAAUUCAGUGAAUCAUCGAGUCUUUGAACGCACAUUGCGCCCCCUGGCAUUCCGGGGGGCAUGCCUGUCCGAGCGUCAUUGCUGCCCUUCAAGCCCGGCUUGUGUGUUGGGUCGUCGUCCCCCCCCGGGGGACGGGCCCGAAAGGCAGCGGCGGCACCGCGUCCGGUCCUCGAGCGUAUGGGGCUUUGUCACCCGCUCGAUUAGGGCCGGCCGGGCGCCAGCCGGCGUCUCCAACCUUCUAUUUUACCAGGUUGACCUCGGAUCAGGUAGGGAUACCCGCUGAACUUAA
rnacentral:misc_RNA from 1 species